AUGACCAGCUGGGUGGCACAACAGUAGAAAGGGAUCUUGCAGUCAUAGAUGACUCCAAGAUGAACAUGAGUCAUCAAUGUGACGAAGUAAUCAA